rnacentral:rRNA from 1 species
GCAGCAAUGUCGCGUGAGUGAAGAAGGCCCUUGGGUCGUAAAGCUCUUUUAUGGGGGAAGAUGAUGACGGUACCCCAAGAAUAAGCACCGGCUAACUAUGUGCCAGCAGCCGCGGUAAUACAUAGGGUGCGAGCGUUGUUCGGAAUUACUGGGCGUAAAGGGCGCGCAGGCGGAAUAGUAAGUCGGAGGUGAAAGCCCGGGGCUCAACCCCGGAGGGUCUUUCGAAACUGCUAAUCUAGAGAGGGUCAGGGGCCGGCAGAAUUCCUGGUGUAGAGGUGAAAUUCGUAGAUAUCAGGAGGAAUACCGGUGGCGAAGGCGGCCGGCUGGGGCCACUCUGACGCUGAGGCGCGAAAGCGUGGGGAGCAAACAGGAUUAGAUACCCUGGUAGUCCACGCCGUAAACGAUGAGCACUGGACGUCCGGAGGGUUCGA